AAAGCACACCAGAGGGUUAUUGGUGCCAGACCUGUUGUCUUGGUAGCCAAUAAGACAGAGUAGAGGGAUGCAAGAAGAGGAGUGGAUAUACUUAGGUGCUGCUGUUCUGUUCCUUCUUAUAGGAGAACAACUGAAAUGGAAACGAAGGAGCAGUGCUAAACCCAAGCACAGAGCAGCAGUGCAGAGUUCCUUCCUCAAAUCUUUGGAGUUUAAACAAGAAAUAAUUUGGAGCAUGAGCAAUGCAUUACUUGGUUGAGCUCUAAACAGAUAACUGCAAUAUAAGAAAUGGGAUCCAGCCAGAAGAAAGUGAUUGAACAGUGAAGGCCUAAUUCUGCAGCACCACACCAUGAAAACCCCUGAACCUCCUGCAGAAGUGAACUGUCACAGCUUUCAUACAUCUUAGUGAGGAUAAUACAUUACAUUGCUGGAUUGGGCCAAUGCCUGCUAAGUGAAGUAAUUCUGCCCAGGACUGAAGAUAAUCACUAGAUCAGCAAAUACU